GGAUUUCUGAAUGAGUGGUAGUGUAGAACGAAUUCUGGUGUGGUUGUAGAAUAUAUGGGGGUAAGUGGUGCAGAACAUAUAAAUAUAUAUAUAGCAUGGCUGAAAACCCUCAGAAUUAGGUCUAGGGUUUAAAGGGUGCGGCACAUAUUGCUUGGGCCUCAAGAGAAGGGUCAAAGCCUUAUUAAUUUUUGAAAAGACUUUGCACAAUCCAAAUCCAAUAAGAAAAAGGCUAGCACAAUCAAAAUCCAAAGGGGAAAAAGGGAUAGAAAGUUGCGGCAUACUUAGAGGGAAAAAGGAAUGGAUUGCAAGGCAAGGAAAAGGCCUUCUAGAAAGGGUAGAGGCGCCACUUUUCUAGGGAAUCCAGAAACAAUGUGUUUUGUGGCAGAAAUUGGGACUUCUAGAAAGAUUUGGGGUGCCACUUUGUAGGGAAUUCUAGAAACAAUGUUAUGUGGCUGAUUUCUAGAAGAACAAGGCCUAAAAACAUGUAGCACUAAUGUAGGAACAGAUAAGGCCUUCUAGAAAGGUUUCUAGGUGAUUUAAAUUAGAAAUUAACUCCCCCUUGCAGAAGGAAUUAAGUUAGGAAAAGAUUAGGAUAGGAUAAGAUAAGAUAAGGUUAGUUACAGUUUGGAUAAGGUUUGGAUAAUGUUCAUUCUUUCUUGCUGAUUCCUUAUCUUCCAAGUCUUGAAAUAAUUUCUCCAGAUUUGUAGCACAUUCCUAGCCUCAUUUAAGCACUAAAAAGGUCUAUCCAACUUGCUCCAUAUGCAUGCAAUCCAUUUCAACCCAAAACUGCACCAAAAUGCACCAAAAUGCACUUUCUUGCCAACUUUGCCAUUAGGACCUACAAACACAUGAAAAUAGCUUAAAACACUAUAAUAAGCAUAAACUAACUAAGUAAAUGCAAGAAAACAUGCUAACUAAGUCGCAUAAAUAUGCUCCUAUUAGUAAGUAUAUCAUAUUAUUUUUAAUUAACAUGUAUAGUUUAAGUAUGUUGUAUUAUUUUAAAUUUUCAUGUCUAUUUUAAAUAUAUUUGUUACUAUGUUUAUGUAUUCAGUCCGUAACAAUGUAUUAAAAGGCUGAGGUGUAGACAAGGCGUCCGAGUGAUAGCCUCGCCUAGGUGUGAGGCGAAGCCUCACGAGAUUAAUUUGUUUUUAAUAUAUAUGUUUUAUAUAUUAUACAUAUAAUUGUAUAAAAAAUAAUUCUUUGUAAAAUAAACAUCCAUUCUCAAUUUAUCAUUCAAAUCCAUAGUCAUUCAAAAGAUAAUAUCAUCUAAUUUCAUCAUUCAAAGGUAAUAUCAUCCAAAUUCAUCAUUCAAAAGGUAAUACAAACAAAGAAAUCAAUCAUUCAUCCAAAUCAUCUUCAUCUAUAUCAAAAUACAAACAAAGAAAUCAGUCAUUCAUCAAAAUCCUCUUCAUCUAAAUCAAAGGCGACAUCAUCCUCUUCAUUGCCAAAUCUAGAUAAACUUGUACAGUAUGUCAUCAAUUCAUCAAAUGAAUCUUCUGAAUUAUACCCCAAAUUUAUUCGGCUUGAGGAUCCUUCAUUACCCGCUUCCUUUUGUAUGUAAUAGGAUCUCAAGGUUGAGUAGGCUUGCGAGGAGGAGUAGGCUCACGAGGAGGAGGAGGAGGAGGAGGAGAAGACGCUCUAGGCUCUCAAAUGUAUGGGCCACCUUCAUAAACCGGUGGUGGCACAUAUGAUCUUCAGGAAGAGCAGGAUCUUCUAUCUUUGUUAUCCAUUCAUCAUUGGAGGUAAUUUCUUCCACAACAAUGGGAUCAUGCUUCCUCCUCCUUUUAAGACUUCUCUCUUGUGGAAGAAAUUGCAUCCAAGGGGGUCUCUCCUCCGAAUCAAGCUCUCUCAAGACACAAACAAGAGGAAGAACACUCUUAAUGCAAAAGGAAAACUCUACCCCAAAACUCACAAUCAUGUAGCACAUGAUGCUUAGCCAACUUUGCUUUACAGGAUUUUGCAUUGGUACUUUCCGACCAUUCUUGAGGAGCAAACAAAGCAACAAGAUUUUCCUUUUGCUUUUGUAAAUGUUGAAGUGUAAGGAAAUAAGUGGCAAACCCAGUAACUGCACGGACAAAGAAUUUCUGAAUUGUUGGUGUACUUUCUCAUUAAAGCUAGUACCCAUUGAUGCCCAUAUAGAUACUUUGAAGAGUAAAUUGCAGCUAUGGUCCCUUAACUUUAACUCAAUUGGAGCAAUGGUCCCUCAACUAAAAAUCCAUUACCAUUGGUCCAUCAACUCAUCAAAACGUGCAUAUAUAGUCCCUCAACUAAAAAUCCAUUACCAUUGGUCUCUCAACUUUAAUUCAACUGGAGAAAUGGUCCCUUAACUUUAACCCAAUUGUAGCAAUGGUCAUUCCAACAUAACUCGUUUUGACAAAUUUUAACGUAGUUGACGAAAAGGACCAUAAUUACACACUUUGAUGAGUUGAGGGACCCUAAUUGUAUAAAUGGUCAUUCCAACAUAACUUAUUUUGACGAAAUUUUGAUGAAAUUGAUGAAAAUGACCAUAGCUACACAUUUUGAUAAGUUGAGGGACCAAUGGUAAUGGAUUUUUAGUUGAGGGACCAUUGCUCCAAUUUGAUUAAAGUUGAGGGAUCAUUGUUACAAUUUACUCUACUUUGAAAUACACCUAGAAAUAUCUUCUAGCAUCAAAUCAAUGGGUACUAGCUUUGAUGAGAAUUGAGUGUGUCAUCAAACCAUGUCAUCUUAGAGAUAUCUUCUAGCAUCAAAUCAAUGCAAUGAGCUGUACAUGGAGUCCACCACACAUUCUCUUUCCUCUCCAUAAGUUUUGCCCUGACAUUCUUGUAGUUCGAAGCAUUGUCAAAUAUAACUUGAGUCACAUUCUCCUCCCAAAUUUCUUGAAUAACAUUAUCCAAAUAGCCAUACAACAAAUCUCCAUUCUUAAUAAAGGUCGAUGCAUCAACCAAUUUCAAGAACCAAGUACCUUGGGGGCUAUUGACAAGAAAAUUGAUUAAACGCCUACUUUUGCCAUCUUACCAUCCAUCCGACAUAAUAGUGCAUCCAUAUCUCUUCCAAGCCUUUACAUGUUCUUUCAUCAUGCUUUGUACAUCCUUAACUUCUUAUUUGAGCAUCCAAGUCCUAUAGUCAUGACUUGUAGGAACAUCAAAGUUGGGACUAAAAUUGAAUACCGCUUUCAUUGCUUUAACAUAAUAUUCGUUGUUUGUUGCAUUGAAUGGAAUGGCACUAGUGUAGAACCAUUGUGCAAGUGCUCGGGAUGCUUGUUUUCUUUCUUCUUUUUUGAAAGGUGUUGAUGCACAAAAUCAGUGAGGACUUUGGUACAACAGAAAGUGUUAAGUUUGUGACCUUCGCUAGAUUGCUCCGAUCACUAGUGUGGAUAAGUAUGUAAAUGGAUAGGGACAGGGAAGCAAACACAAGAUGUACAUGGUUCACCCAGAUUGGCUACAUCCACGGAGUAGAGGAGUUCUCAUUAAUUGUGAAGGGUGUACAUAAGUACAUAUGUUCAAGCUCUCCUUUAGUGAGUACUUGUGAAUGAUUUAGUACAAAUGACAUUUAGAAAUAUUGUGAGAGAAUGAUCUCUAUUUAUAAAAGAGAGUUUCUAGUUUCAUUUUGACAUUGACAUGUGUCGUGUUGUGAUUGGCUUCUGAUGUCGACACGUGUCAUGCUGUGAUUGGCCUCCUGGUUGGAGGGAAACUCUUCUGGGUCCUUGACGGUAUAACGUUGACCGGUGCUUAGUAGUUUCAGGAUUAGUCAAGUAUGGUACAAACAGUGCUCCCUUAAGUUUCCGAGUGAAGGAAGCUCUUCGGUUGGGAACUUGCAAGAUCCAAGCCAUUGAGUGUGGUAUCAUUUUCACUUACCUUAUCUGUCUCAUAUGUAGAUGUGGCAUUUUCUCUGGAAGUACUUUUCCUCCAUCCAGGGGUGGUAUCUUUAAUUGAUGAAGAUGCACAAGGUAAUGUAUCAAAUUCACUUGAAGCUUACUUGUAGUUUCGGGCUUGGUCAAGUGCGAUACAAACCCUAUAGUAAGAGUCCCCCAAGUCGUCGAGGUAGGUUAUUUGCCGAAGAAGGUAAUAGACAAGGUAAGCAAUCAGACUUCCAAGCAAGCAACCUGGAUCAGAGGUUUGACUUUGGCUUCCGGUUAAUUGUUCUCCUUCUCAUUGUGUCGUAAAUAGCAACAAGGAUAAGGAGAAGCAAAUGGAGAAGAGAUGAUAUGAGAUACUUUUGCUUUUGAAGAAGUAACUUUUCACAGGCUUAUUCUUGAACUGGGCUGGAGGGUUUUCUGGUUUCCUCCAGAGUACAAGGCCGGCUUAAGAAUUUGAGGGUCAAAACAAGUUCAUCAAAUCUAGAGUACGUUUAACCCUGAUGAUAUGGGAUACUUUUGCUGUUGACAAAGCAGUGGAUGUAUCAGCACGUGUUCUGUUACGCUUGUCUCCACAUGCUUCCUUGUAUCAUUCUCACUUGCCCUAUCUGUUCCUCAGGCAGAUGUGGUAUCUUCUCUGGAAGCAUAAGAUGUUGAAGAUGAGUACUCGAAAGCAAUGCCAGGUAAGUAAUCAGGCAAGGAAGUUCCAGGCAGUCAGUUCCUAACUGGAAGCUUGAUUCCAAGUGCUGACUGAUUGCUCUCUUUCUCCUUGUCUUGCAGGUAAGAACAAGGCCAAAGGAAAAGACAGGGAAAAAGCAUGAUAUGGGAUACUCUUGCUUUUAACCCUGAUGAUAUGAGAUACUCUUGCUCUGGUGUGGCUUAUUUGCAGAGGUAUUAUUAGGAGGAAAAGAAACUGAGUAGUUCGAGAGACUCUGCUGAGAGUGCCCUCUUGGAUGUGAAGAAAAGUUAGCAUUUUCUUUUUAUUUGCAAGUCUGCCUGGCUGUGGAGGAGGAGUCUCCCUAACAACAAGUAGUAGUGCUAUUCGUUUACCCUUCUUGGUCAUAGCAAUGUAGUGGGAGCUGCAAGCUUCAUGUGUUUUAACUUUGUUAGAGCACUUUGAAAAAGUGGUCUGUGGUAUCUGGAAAAGCUGAUGUUGCAUGUGAAGAUUGCAGACAAGCUUUAUCUAAGGAAAUCUAGCUCUUGAAGUUCGGAGAGUGGUGUCUCUUCGGUUUUCGAACAAGCAAUCUUAUCGGGGAUUUGGCUCUCAAGAUUCAGAGAACAGUGCCACUUCGAUUUUUGAGAAAGCCAUCACGUUGAGAGUCUGACUCUUGAGAUUCGGAGAGCAGUGUCUCUUCGAUUUUUAAGAAAGUAAUCCUGUUGGGAGUCUGGCUUUCGAGAUUUGGAGGGCGGUGCGUCUUCAAUUUUUGAGCACGUAAUCCUAUUGGAGUAUGACUCCUGAGAUUCGAAGAGCAAUGUCUCUUCGAUUUUUUGAGAAAGUAAUCCUGUUGGGAGUCUGACUCUCGAGAUUCGGAGGGCGAUGCCUCUUCGAUUUUUGAGCACAUAAUCCUGUUGGGAGUCUAGCUCUCGAGAUUCGGAGAGCGGUGCCUCUUCGAUUUUUGAGCAAGCAAUCUUGUUGGGAGUGUUUUCUCGAAUGUGAGUAAAGGUUGGGCAUUUUUGCCAGUCUGCCUUGCCACGGAGCACGGAGGUUGACACACAUUGGGACUUUCUUGUUAUCAAGCAGUGAUGCUGUUCUUUUACCCUUGUGGGUAAUAGUAUGGUAGCUGGACCUUCAAAAUUUAUGUGUCUAAACUUUGUCAGAGAUCUUUGGCAAAGUUAUCUGUGGUACCCGAGGAGCUGAUGUUGCGUGUGGAAAGUGGUGCCUCUUCGAUUUUUAAACCAACAGCCCUGUUGCCUUUUCUUUUAUAAGGGCACCAAUUGUGUGCAAGAAGUACAUUCAGAGAAUUAUUGCUUGUAGGAAUUUUCCCCUUACUUCAGAGAUUUAUUGCAUUCAUUUCUCCUUCAUCAUUUAUGAGAAUGUCUGGCCCAUCCGCCCGUCGUUUUGACUUAAACUUUGGUGAAGAGGCAGCCAUGCCUUCUCAAGACAACAUAUGGUGCCCAUCCUUCUUAUCCUCUACUGGUUCUCUUACCGUUGGGGACUCUGUGAUGAAGAAUGAUAUGACCGCUGCGGUGGUGGCUAGGAACCUUCUCACUCUCAAAGAUAACAGACUACUUUCCAAACGGUCUGAUGAGUUGGCUGUUAAGGAUUCUCUGGCUCUUAGUGUUCAGUGUGCAGGUUCUGUGUCUAAUAUGGCCCAACGCCUAUUUGCUCGAACCCGCCAAGUUGAAUCAUUGGCGGCUGAAGUGAUAAGUCUCAAACAGGAGAUCAGAGGGCUCAAGCAUGAGAAUAAACAGUUGCACAAGCUCGCACAUGACUAUGCUACAAACAUGAAGAGGAAGCUCGACCAGCUGCAGGAAUCUGAUGGUCAGAUUUUACUUGAUCAUCAGAGGUUUGUGGGUUUGUUCCAAAGGCAUUUAUUGCCUUCGUCUUCUGGGGCUGUACCGCGUAAUGAAACUCCAAAUGAUCAACCUUCGGUGCCUCCUCCUUCUGGGGUUCUGCCUAGUACUGAGGCUCCGAAUAAUCACCCUUUGGUGCCUCAUCUUUCUGGGGCUUUGCUGACCGCUGAGACUUCUCCUGAGCAACCUUUGUGAAGGCUCCCUUUUGUUUGUUUAUUUUGAUUCAUGUAUAUGUACAUAUUUGUAACUUAUCGGAGAUAUCAAUAAACAAGCUUUGCUUCAUUUCAACGUAUUGUGUUAAAUACACCAAGGCCUUCUUCACUAAGUUCUUUGAAUUUUUCCUUUUGUUGAAGCUUGUAUGUUGAAGCUUUGUGAGUGAAGCAUGUAGGUUGAGGUAGUGCUCCCUUAAUUUCCUGAGUGAGGAAAACUUCUCGAUUGGAGACUUGAAAAAAUCCAAGUCACUGAGUGGUCGUGAGACUUCCGAGUAUCAAGGUGCAGUAACAUAUGGUAGGAGUCCCCCAAGUCUCUGGUCGAGGGAGUUGAUGAAGGAGGUGUCUUGCUAGUAGCCAAGUUUCCAAAGUAACAAAACUUCACCAUUUUCCUUUCUAAGUGGUAGCCCAAAACUCAUCCUUCAUAUAUAUUUGUUAUAAAAGUUGUUAGGCCUAAAGAAGAGGAGGCCUAGGCAAUGUUUUUUUUUUUUGAAUUUUUGAAUUUUCGAAUUUUCGAAUUUUCAAAUUUCUGAAGAAUAUAUAUAUAUAUAUAUAUAUAUAUAUUUAUUUUUUUUUUUAAGCUUUAUAGGUGAAGCUUUGAUGUUGAAGCUUUGUUGGGUACCAUGAAUUGAUUUUGCUUCACACUAUCUUGAUCAAGAUAGUGUGAAGCUUUUGUAGGUGAAGCUUUUGUGUUGAAGCUUUGUAGGUGAAGCUUUUGUAGGUGAAGCUUUUGUGGGUGAAGCUUUUGUGGUGGGUGAAGCUUUUAUGGGGUACCAUGAAUUGAUUUUGCUUCACACUAUCUUGAUCAAGAUAGUGUGAAGCUUUUGAGAAUUUGUAGUUGUCCUCCAUUGAUGAAGCUUUUGUAGGUGAAGCUAUUGUGGGUGAAGCUAUUGUGGGUGAAGCUUUUGUGGGUGAAGCUUUGGAGUUGAAGCUUUUGUUGGGUACCAUGAAUUGAUUUUGCUGCACACUAUCUUGAUCAAGAUAGUGUGAAGCUUUUGAGAAUUUGUAAUUGUCCUCCAUUGAUGAAGCUUUUGUUGGUGAAGCUUUUGUGGUGAAGCUUUGUUGGGUACCACGAAUUGAUUUUGCUUCACACUAUCUUGAUCAAGAUAGUGUGAAGCUUUUGAGAAUUUGUAGUUGUCCUCUAUUGAUGAAGCUUUGUUGAAUUUCCUUUUUUUUUUGGAAACUAGAAAUUUGAAAAUGUAGGAGAGACAAGAUAUACAAAUUUUGCUUCCACACUGUUGGGCAAGAGAUUGUGAUGCAAGCCACACCUUGUAAUAGUCGAAGGUUUGGAUGAACCAUAUAAAUUGAAUUUGCUUCGAACAAUCUUGAAUUUGCUUCGAAGGUUUGAGAAUUGUAGUUGCCCUCCAUUGAUGAAGCUCAUGUUGGCACCAUAAAUUGGUUUUGCUUCACACUGUUUUGAUCAAGAGUGUGUGAAGCUUUUGAGAAUUGUGGUUGCCUUCCAUUGAUGAAGCUCUUGUUGGCACCAUAAAUUGGUUUUGCUUUACACUGUCUUGAUCAAGAGUGUGUGAAGCUUUUGAGAAUUAUGGUUGAACUCCUUUGAUGAAGCUUUUAUUGGCACCAUAAAUUGGUUUUGCUUCACACUGUCUUGAUCAAGAGUGUGUGAAGCUUUUGCGAAUUGUGGUUGCCCUCCAUUGAUGAAGCUCUUGUUGACACCAUAAAUUGGUUUUGCUUCACACUAUCUUGAUUAAGAGUGUGUGAAUCUUUUGAGAAUUGUGGUUGAACUUCUUUGAUGAAGCUCUUGUUGGCACCAUAAAUUGGUUUUGCUUUACACUGUCUUAAUCAAGAGUUUGUGAAGCUUUUGAGAAUUGUGGUUGAACUCCUUUGAUGAAGCUCUUGAAGCUUUUGUUGGCACCAUAAAUUGGUUUUGCUUCACACUGUCUUGAUCAAAAGUGUGUGAAGCUUUCUAUAAGUUGUAGUGUAUGCAUUUUUACAGAGGGGAAAUGUCUGAAGCAGAUGCAAGAGGGCUGAAUAGCUUGAUCUUCGUAUGUCAUGCACUGAAGUUGUUGUUGGCUUGCAAUAAGACUUUGUUGGUGACUAUAACUCUUGUUGGGCAUAAGUGCUCCCCUAGUUGAGUUGUUAAGCUUGAGGGUUUUUGAUUAUUUGUGAAUGCUAGGAGUUCAUAUGUACAAGUUGUACCACUCGUCUUCUGGUACGUGGAAUGAAUGGUAAGUUGCUUUCAUCACUUGGUUGGUGGUACGAAGGUGAGUUCCUUCAUCACAUUUCAUCACAUUUCAUCACUUGGUUGGUUGCACGAGGAUGAGUUCCUUCUUCACCUAGUUGGUGGCAUGAAUGGCAAGUUGCCAAAUGAUAUUAGAAUACGGGUUGUGCAUUUCAUCACCUGGUUGGUGGCAUGAAGGAGAGUACAGGUUGUACAUUUCAUCACCUGGUUAGUGGCAUGAAGAUGAGUUCCUUCUUCACCUGGUUGGUGGCAUGAGUGGCAAGUUGCCAAAUUAUAUUAGAGUACUGGUUGUACAUUUCAUCACCUGGUUGGUGGCAUGAAGGAGAGUAGGGGUUGUACAUUUCAUCACCUGGUUUGUGGCAUGAAGGAGAGUACGGGUUGUACAUUUCAUCACCUAGUUGGUGGCAUGAAGAUGAGUUCCUUCUUCACCUGGUUGGUGGCAUGAGUGGCAAGUUUCCAAAUGAUAUUAGAGUACGGGUUGUACAUUUCAUCACCUAGUUGGUGGCAUGAAGGAGAGUACGGAUUGUACAUUUCAUCACCUGGUUGGUGGCAUGAAGAUGAGUUCAUUCUUCACAUUUCAUCACUUGGUUGGUGAGAAUAAGGGCAAGGUGUCUAGGCACAUUGUAGCAAGUGUCGAAUGACACAAAAUAUGUUGAACCCUUUCAAAGCAUAGUUGGCUUAUGUAUGAAUAUGUUGGAAUGUAUGAUUGAACGAAUAUACUGUGAAGCUAUUCGUUUAUUUGUAUAGUCUUGUUGACAUAUACUUAGACUUUGUUUCAUGUUGGAAGCAUUCAUGUUGAAGCAUUGAACCCUAGUGUUUCAUUGCUAGGAAUGUAAGAGGAUUAGGACCGAGUUGUCUAAAUCACCUCUUUAUUAAAUUCAUGCCAAAUAGUCUUCGUUACAUAGGAUGCCGAAUGGCUGAAGCUUAACACUUGUACAAUGUGAGUUUACUUGUAAUAGUAUUUCAAGUGAUCAACGUUCUAUGGAUGGCCAAGGGUCUUGCCAUCAGAGCUUCUAAGCUUGUAAGAGCUAGGGCGACUGAUGCUAACAACUUCAAACGGUCCAUCCCAGUUUGGACUAUGCGUUCCUUCACUCAGGACUCUGUCACAGAGUAAUAUUUUCUUCAUACCCAGUCCCCCAUUUUGAAAGAACGAGGUUUGACCCUUGAGUCAUAGUAGUUGGAGAUACGCUGCUUGUAGGCGACAUUCCUCAAGUGAGCAUGGUUUCCGUGUUCCUCGACUAGAUCUAAGUUGAGGGUAAAUUGUUUGUCAUUUUCGCUUUGCACAUAGUUCUGGACUCGGAACAUUACUUGCUCAAACUCAAUUGGGACAACUGCCUCUGUACCAAAGUUAAGUGAGAAUGGGGUUUCUCUUGUUGAUGUCCGAUACGAAGUGCGGUGUGACCAAAGAACUUGGGGUACAAAUUCUGGCCAACAACCUUUAGCCUUGUCCAAGCUGGUUUUCAAAGUUCGCUUGAUUAUUUUGUUAAUGGCUUUAACUUGUCCAUUAGACUGGGGAUGAGCUGGGGAGGCAAAACAUAAGUUGAUGUUGAACUUAGAGCAGAACAUCCUGAACUUAUUGUUGUCGAACUGUCACCCGUUGUCAGUGACUAUCGCAUUGGGAACGCUGAAUCUGCAAAUGAUGUUCUUCCAUACGAAGUCUUCUAUUUUUACCUCAGUAAUGGUUGCCAAGGGUUCUACUUCGGCCCACUUUGUGAAGUAGUCAACUGCAACGAUUGCAUAGUGAACCUUGCCCUUCCUUACAGGCAUUGGGCCGAUCAAAUCAAGUCCCCAUUGGGCGAAGGGCCAAGGGCUAAUCAUAGGAGUGAGCGGCUCGGAAGGGGAGUGAGGAAUAGUUACGUAGCGUUGACACUUAUCACAUGAGUGGGAUAUUCUGAUGGCAUCUUGGUGGAGUGUUGGCCACUAAUAUCCUUGGCCAAAAGCCUUGUGUGCUAGGGAUCGAGAUCCAGCAUGAUCUCCGCAGACUCCUUCAUGUAUUUCCCGAAUGACAGUUUCCGCCUCUGCGAGCGUAAGGCAUUUUAGGUAUGGUAGAUUAAAACCCCGUUUGUAGAGUUGGUCAUUAAUGAUCAAGUAACAGGUAGCCUUGUAUCGAAUCUGCUUAGCUUGGACUUUGUCAUUUGGAAGGGUGCCAUGAACAAGGAAUCUAUAAAUCGGGGUAAUCCAACUAUCCCCCUGUUGUAAGUUGCACACUUCUGCAACUAUGGUGCUUGGUGCUGCCAACAAUUCGACCUGAAUUUUUCUCCCAAUCUUGUCUUUCACCGCUAAGGUGAGGCGAGCCAAAGCAUCUGCAUGACUGUUUGCCGCUUGAGGAAUUUAGGUAAUCUGGUAGUGGAAGUGCUUGAGCAACAAUUAUGUUUAUGCCAGAUAUGCUGCCAUGGAGCUAUCCUUAGCAUCAAAGUUGUUGGUGACCUGGUUAACCACCAAUUGGGAGUCACUGAAGAUAUCAAUUCGUUUAACUCCAAGGUGUUUGGCCAAACGUAAGCUUGUUAGGAGGGCUUCAUAUUCGGCCUCAUUGUUCGACGCCUUGAAUUUGAAACGAAGAACAUACUCUAUCGCCACUUUGUCAGAGGUCGUAAGGACUAGUCCUGCUCCACAACCCUGUUGGUUAGACGAGCCAUUAACAUAUAGACUCCAUGCUGCGACUGUUGGUUAUAUUUUCUAAGCUUCCGAGGGUAAUGAAACCACUUCUUGAGGCGUAGAAACAAUGUCAACAGGAUAUGUGAAGUCGACGAUGUAGUCUGCCAUUGCUUGGCCCUUUUCCGCUGGCUUUGGUUGGUAGGAGAUGUCAAACUCACCCAAUGCUAUCGCCCAUUUGAUCAUUCGCCCAGAAGUGUCAGGACUUUGGAGUAUCUGUCGAAGAUGAUGAUUGGUAAGCAUGAUGAUGGAGUGUGCUUGGAAGUAAGGGCGAAGUUUUCGAGCAGAUAUGACCAAUGCUAGAGCCAAUUUCUCAAUGUUGGAGUAUCGUGUCUUUGCAUCUUGUAAGGCCUUGCUAACGUAAUAGACAAGUCAUUCGACAUUACCAUCUUUUUGAAUGAGAACAAAACUUACUGCUGAAGCCAAUACCGAUAGAUGGAUAAUGAGAGUGUCACCAACCUCAGGUUUGGAGAGCAAAAGGGCUUUACUCAUGUAGUCUUUGAGGUUCUUAAAUGCCUCAACACAUUCAUCAGUCCAUGUAAUGUACUUCUUACUUCCCUUAAAUGCUUUGAAAAAAUGAGCACAUUUGUCUGUGGCCUUAGAGAUGAACCUAGUUAAGGCUGCCACAUUGCCAGUAAGGCUCUGGAUGUCUUUUGAAGUUACCGGUACCUUCAUGUCGAGGAUUGCUUUGAUCUUCUCGGGAUUAGCCUCAAUGCCUUGUUAGCUUAUCAUGAAGCCUAAGAAUUUGCCAGAGCCUACGCUGAAGGCACAUUUGUUGGGGUUCAACCUCAUUUGAUAUCUCUUCAGAAUGGUGAAAGUUUCAAAUAGGUUGGUGAUGUUUUGGUCAGCAUGUUUGCUCUUAACUAGCAUAUCAUCAACGUAAACUUCCAUGCUCUUCCCAAUCUGUUCGGUGAACAUUGAAUUGACCAGUCUUUGAUAAGUCGCUCCUACAUUCUUUAGGCCGAAGGGCAUGACUUUAUAGCAAUAUAGUCCCCUGUCAGUAGUGAAGGUUGUGUGUUCUUGGUCCGGAAGGUUCAUGAGGAUUUGGUUGUAUCCUGAGUAAGCAUCCAUGAAGCUUAGGAGUUCACACCCUGCCAUAGAGUCUAUAAGUCUGUCUAUGAGAGGAAGAGGAAAGCUAUCCUUCGGGCAUCUUUUGUUGAGGUCGGUGUAAUCGACACACAUUCUCCACAAGACCUUUUGGAGCAUGAGACUUUCCUUGGUCGGAUUCUUCUUAACAAUGACAACAUUUGCUACACAUAUUGGAUAAUUGACUUCGCGGACGAAGCCUAUGCCUUUGAGUUUUUCAACUUCUGCCUUCAUUGCUUCGUACCGUUCAACGUCAUAAGAUUUCGCUGCUGUCUCACUGGCUUGGUCUUGGGGUUAAUACUUAAGCGAUGAUAGAUGAUAUCGGGAAAGAUGCCUGGCAUGUCCUCGUAUGACCAGGCGCAGACCUCAGUGUUCUUUUGUAAAAAAGAGAUCAAUGCCAACCGAAUGGGUGGUGACAAGGUGGUGCCAAUCUUCAGCAGGUUGUGCUUACUGGGUGAAAAAGUCAUCUCGAGGAUCGUCGGGUUGACUGUUGCCAUCGUGAAGAUCCAAGUUGGCUUCGUCUGGGCUGGUCUUUAUGACUUAGUCAUGUAUAGAAAGGGUUUCCUUGGGCACAAACAGGUGUUGUUGCUUGACCGAAGUGUUGUAACAUGAUCGUGCACUAAGUUGAUCUAUUCUAAUGUAACCAUUGCCAUAAGGGGUUGGAAAUUUCAUCAACAACAUAUGUGUGGAUACCAUGGCCUUGAGAUCAUUGAUGCAUGUGCGUCUAAAGAUGACAUUGUAUGUCAUUGGGCAAUUAACCACUAGAAAGUUAGUGGUAAUGGUAGCUGUGUAAGGGCCUGUACCAAUGGUGAAAGGUAAAUGUAUGCUUCCCAAAGGUUGCACGAUAUCACCGGAGAAGCUUAUCAGAGGGAAAAUCGAGCGAUCGAGCAAGUGUUCAGCUACAUUAAGUGCCCUGAAAGCUUUAGCAACAUGAUAUUGACCGAAGCCCCCGUGUCUACGAGGAUUCGUCAUACUUCAAAGUUGGCUAUGUGAGCUUUCACGAUCAGUAAGCCGUUGUGAGGGUAGAUGAUACCUCUUUCUUCUUCAGAGUAGAAACAUAUUGGAUCCCAGUUAGGCUUUUGAUACUUACCUCCCCUGAUGUCUUCCACGUGAAACACUUGAUGGCCAGACCUUAAAGCUCGUUCACUAUUUUUCAUGGCCCUGUUGGAAGAUUUAGAUAUGGGUGUGCCACCACUUAUGGAAUAUAUCAUAUUUACCUAGCAUUGGUUACGGUUACUCCUUGGAGGGUGAAGGAUGAAUUGAUCAAUUUUUCCUUCAUGCCAAAGCUUCAAUAUGAUCACGAAGGGUGAUACACUUCUUGCCGUCAUGGUCUUUAUGCUCGUAGUAGCAGCAAAACGUGCCCGUGUUUUUCGUGGGCUUGUAAUCCGGGUGCCUCGGCUUUGGCUUCGGUAUUAGGUGUGCUAUGCUGGGGUAAAUGGCCACACAUGUGGUGUUCAAAGGUGUGUAUGCCUUAUGCCUCGGGGUAGGGGUUGUCCUGACACGUGCUUGACUCACUGUGUUGACUACCUAGGAUCGGGGAUUAUCAUAGUGAUACCCUUGGUUAUCGCGGUAGUGUCCCUUACUCUUUUUACUAAAAUGAGACUGGUGAGGAUGGAAAUCUUUCCUUUUUCCCUGAGAUUAAUAUGUCUGUUGACUUGGCAAGUAUUAAGUAAGGCAGAGUGAGGCACCGUUGCCGUUUGGAAGGUCGAGGUCUUCUCAUUUGGUUGGAUCUGGCUUUCACUCCCUACUUGUUGAUAAGGGGUGGCUAUGGGGGAUUUCCCUUGAUAUGUCUUUGCCUCGGCAGAGACAUGGUUGUAAGCCUGUGCCGUUACCUGAUCGGAUCAUAUUUAUAUAUAUUUUUACUUCGAAUUCACUCGUCUUUUCUUAGUUAGUUCCUUAUAUUUUUGAGCUAUUUACGUUAUUUUUGUGUUUAUAGGAUUUGUUAUGCAAAGAAAAUAAAAAUAGAACAAAUGAAAUUUUAUGUAAUAAAUUCGUCAAAAAUGUCUGUGUAGAUCAGCUUUUAAAUUAAAUUAAAAAAAAUAUAUAUAUAAUAAUGAUAAAUCAUGAUGAUGUUUGAAACAUCAUCAUGAUGGUUUUGUUUUGUAGAAGAAAAGAAAGGAACGGAUGGAGAAGAAGAAAAGAAAGGAAUAAAAAAGAAAAGAAGGAAUAAAAAAAUUAAAAGAAGAAUAAGUGAGUCCACACAUGAGGGAUCCAAAGAAAGAUAUACGAAAGAAGAAGAAAAAGGAGAAUCCAAGGCGUGAAAGGGAUAGAGGCGGGAGACAGAGAAGACUUGAAAAAGUGGGAAAUAAAAUAAUAAGAUAGAGAGGAGAAAGCAGCUGGCAGAGACGAAAUUGGGGGGGGGGGGAGAGAUGGAGCUGCCUUUGGCAGCACGGGGUCAGAGAGGAUAGAGAUACGUGAGGGAAGCAAAUAAGAAAGAAGAAAGAAAAAAAAGUGAGGGACUGACAGAAAAGCAGAGGGCUGCCCUUUGGGCAGCGUGAGGCUGCGCAGAAAUAAAAGGGACAGUGCGGCAUGGCAGGAGAGAAGUGACGCAGGGAGUGAGGGCAGAAGCACAGAAACGCAGCAGAUCUUAUUCUCUCGGUUAAAUCUUUCCAACUUAUGAUUAAUUUUUUGUUUAAUUUUAGAAUAAUGUGUAGCUAAAUUUAUUUUGGCUAGAGGUUAAUUCAAAGCCAUGAAUAUAUUUGUAAUAUGAAUUGAUUACCUUCGGUUGUGAUUUCAUAAGUUGUGAUUUCAAUUUACUUAUCCGUUCGUAUAAAAACUGAUUUGUGUAUGUUGGUUGAGAGUGCACGCUUAAUUUACAUGCAUGAAUUUGAUGCUAGAAUAUAAGUGAAUUUCACCUAAUCGUUAUGAACUUAUUUUCACAAGUAGUAAAGGUUGCUAGUCACAAUCACGUUAAGUAAAUUCUUGGCAAGAGUAUCAUGCUUUUCAUAGUUACGAAUGCAUCGUCAAUGCUUAUAGUUUUCACAAAGUUUAAUGAUCUUUGAUUGUAUCUCUAUUGUGCUUUUCACGUAGGGGACUUUUGAAGAAUGUUUUGAAUUGUUGUAUGCGUUUUCCCGUCCAAUUCAAUAACUUAAGGAAAACUUGAAGAUUAAAAAAGUGCUGUUCACGGUUAAUCUGGAGUAUUGAGAUUCACAAUUUUAUUGAAAGAACAACUGAAAAUCAAUUUAGGUUGCAUAUGUGUCAUGUGUGUGGAGAAGAACCCUCUAGCUAGUCCGUCAUUUAUCAUUUUACCUUAAUUUUAUGUUUUGUCAAUUCUGUAAUUUAAUUAAGUUUAAUUUACUUUUCAUCAAAACCAAACACCUAUCCAUUAUUAAAUUAUUUUAUUUAUUUAGUUUUCUUUAUUGUUAGUCUUUUAAUUUAAUUUCCGUCCAUUUCAGUUCCUAGUGUUUAAUUUGAUUGUUUUCAUUAUUUUGAGUUAUCCUAAGUGUGUUUCGAGUUAUUAGAGUUUUUAGCCUAGUUUUGUGUCCUUGAGUCUUAUUUAAUAUUUUUAAAUUAAUUUAGAAUAGAUUAGCAAUCCCUCCUAAUCCCCGGCCUAGAACGAUACCCUACUUACAUCCAUACUACAAUUGUCAAAAAGAGGGUUUAAUUUGUGUGUCAAGAAAUUCUCACAUCAAAUUUUGGCGCCGUUGCCGGGGAUUAGUAACUUUGCUAAUCCUUUUAUUUUUGUUUUUGUUUAUGUUUAUAUUGGUGUUUGUGUAUUUUACUUUUGAUAUUUGAUUUAUUUUUCUUUCUUUGAUUUUAGGCACAAAUGGAGCUGAGGGAAAUUUAAAGGAAAGAUGCGUCCGGCUAAAGACGUUAAAUCAAGCGCUUCUUGGGAGGCAACCAAGCAUUCAACGAAGGGAGACUUUGGAAUCGCUAACCCAAUCAGAUUUGCAUUUUUACACCCUUAUCUUUACUGCUUUCAUUUUGUUUUGUUUAGUUAGUUGUGUUAUUUGUUUGAUUUCUGUGAGUUUGUGUUAUUUAGUUUAAGUGUGGGGGAAGGUUAACCAAAGUCUUUCUACUUUAAUUUACAUAAAAAAAAAAAAAAAAAAAAAAUUUAAAAAAAUGAUAUAAAAAAAAAAAAAAAAAAAAAAAGAUAAAAUUUAAAAUUAAUGAUAAAAAAAAGUACAUAAAAAAAAAUAAUAAAAAAAAAAAAAAUAAAUAAAUAAUAAUAAUAAAAAAAGUACAAAUAUUUUACAAUGAUGUAAACUAAUAGUAUUCAUUGGUCGGGUGGUGCUUCAGUAGUAGGCGGGGCUUCAGCAGUCGGCGGGACCACAGAAGGAGGAGGCGGCAGAGGUUGAUCAGUUGGAGCUUCACUACGCGGUGCCGCUCCAGAAGACGAAGGCAGAUGUUGUUGGAACAAACCCACAAACCUCCGAUGAUCAAGUAAAAUUUGACCAUCGGUGUCCUGCAUCUGGUCAAUCUUCCUCUUCAUGCUGGUGGCAUAGCUGUGUGCGAGCUUGUGCAAUUUCCUUAUUCUCAUGCUUGAGCCCUUUAAUCUCUUGCUUGAGACUCUGUAUUUCAGCCACCAAGGAUUCAACGUGACGGGUUCGGGCAUAUAGGCGUUGGGCCAUGUUGGAUACGGAACCCGCACACUGCACACUGAGAGCCAGAGACUCCUUGACCGCCAAUUCAUCAGACCGCCUUGCGAGCAGUCUGUUAUCUCUGGGAGUGACAAGGUUUCGGGCCACCACCGCAGCGGUCAUGUCAUUUUUUUCAUCAUCGAAUCCCCCACGGUAAGGGGACCGGUAGGGGAUAUGAAGGAUGGCCGCCAUAUGUUGUCUGGUGAAGGCGGAGCUGCCUCUUCACCAAUGUUCAAGUCAAAACGACGAUCAGAAGGGCCAGACAUUUUUCAGAGGUGGUAAAGAAAGAAGAGAGUCGGAUGAUCAAGAUUAAACAAGUGCAAGAAGGGAGUGUUUACAGGAGGGUAGCUCAAGUGUGUUGUGGAACAAAAUUAACGCCUCUAUAAAAAGAAGAAAUCAAAGAGGCGCUCCUCAGAGAUGCGUCCUCUCGCAAAUCGAAGAGUCGGGGCUCCUUUCUCAAAAGCCGGAUUCUUUUCUCAAAAGAGGAGUUUCCGUUCUCAAAAGCCGGAUUCUUUUCUCAAAAGAGGCGUUUCAUUUCUUAAAAGUUGGGCUUGCUCAGAAACCACGAGCCGAACCCCGGAUUUCGCAAGAUCAAUUCGUCCAGACGUGUUGUCACCCGUCACACGCAAACUCAGCUCUGCGAAAAUCACGAGCAGUCUGUCGAAGUGCCGAUUCCAACCAUCUGUCUCUCUCUCAGCCUAGUCAGCACUUGUCACAUGCAACUGGCAGCUUUGCGGAAAUUACGGGCAGCUUUGUCAGAAAGCGCGUAAUUUUGUAUUCUUCACCCAUCCACCGGCUGCCGACACUAAGUGAGAGAAACAGUUCCGGUUGUGAAGACAAGUCCUAUAAGUUUCUACCUUCGCCUUCCACAGCAAAAGCACACUCUCUCAGCACACCCUCUCAACACCUCUUCAUCUCCGAAAAUGCAUUCCCAAAGAAUCCUCUCGAGUCACUCUGUGUUCCUCAUUCCUUGGGAUACUCCUGCGAACAACCCAUUCAAAGCAAAAGUAUUUCAUAUCAUAAAGGUUGAAAGCAAGAGUAUCUCAUAUCAUGCUUUCUCCAUGUCCUUCUCCUUGUCUUUGUUUUCCGACAAGGAGAAAGAGAGCAAUCAGCCAGCAUUUGGUAUCAAUCUUCCGAUCUGGAGCCAACUGCCUGGAACCCCUUCCUGAUUGCUUACCUAGCCUUGCUCUCGAGUACUCAUCUUCAUCAUUUUAUGCUUUCUCUUCGUCUACCACAUCUGCCUGGGGGACAGUAAGGGAAGUGAAAAUGAUACCUCGAAGCAUGUGGAGACAAUUCAGCUAGGGACAAGGAGAAAGAAAGCAAGAGGUGGGCACUUGGAAAGAUUGAAGAAAGAAAAUAAGGACCAACACCUUUCCCUCGUGCCUGCCCGUUGUGCAGAAGAAACAAGCAGAGAAGAAUGCAGCUUGCACAAUCAUCCCAGCGGAAGGAGUCCGAACUGAGGAACUAGAGAAGCUGCCACAUCUGCUUGGAGAACAAAUAAGGAACUGCAACAUAACCAAAGAGCAAAGCUUCGCCGUACAAUAUCAUAAAAUCAUCACUUGCAAGUGAAAAGCUAAGUGUCACCCUGUUCAAGAGGAAAGCUGUGGAAAGUCAACAAGCACGACCAAUGAUUACUUAUUAGUUUUAUUCAUUAUCUUUUAUCGUAAUUUUCAAUUUUUCGUUUGCAAUUUUUUUUUAAUUAAUUUUCUUGCGUACUUAACUGAAUUAUUUCUUUUCUUUGCAGGAACUUUUGGUUAUUUCCACCCUUGAAGUUGAUUGCAGAAUUUUAGCUUGGGGGUCAUCGCUUGAUUUUACUGCAAAUUAGGGAAGUUUUCAGUCCAAUUGCUUUAUUUUUUUUUUUAUUAUUUUGUUUAUUUUAUUUAUUUUUUGCAUUAUAGUGUUUUCUGACAUUGGGGACAAUGUCAAGUUUAAGUGUGGGGGUAGAAAUCUCCAGAAUUUCAUUUGUCUCUGUGUUGUUGUUUUUUUUUGUGUUCUUAAUUAGUUUUGUUUUCUUUAAAAAAAAAAAAAAAAAUUAAAAAAAAUUUCGGAAAAUUUAAAAAUCCAAAAAUAUUGUCUUGUUUCCCUUAUUGUUUUGAAUUAGAUUUUUGUUAGUUUCCCGACCCAAUGAUAUAAUUAGAUCAAAUUUGAAUCACGAUUAUCAAGAACUUAGUUAACAUGUGUUUUAUGAAAUUCCUAAUUCUCUUGUUAGUUUUGUACAUGUUUGAUCAUCUUUGAAAAACCAAAUGCACAUAGCCUUGUUGAUGUGAAACUAAAGUAUGACUUAAAGCUUCAUAUGUGAAUUUAGUGACCAUAUACAUCCUAUGUGAGUUUUUGAGCCGAUUGAAAGUGUGUGCAUUUUUCAUACACUCCUAUUCUUUCAUGUGUGAUGAACUUAUGUGAGAUACAUCUCUAGAACUUGCGUAACGAUCUUUCGAAAUGUUUGUCAUUGAUUGCAUGAACUUGGAAAUGAUAGAGGCAUUAGGUUUACCACCAUGGCCCAAAUAACCAUGUUUCCCAAAGAAAAAUGAUAUCAUUAGAUUGCCAAUUUGAGCCGUGUAUGUUGAGCCUUUUAUUUCUUAUCACCAGAUAUGUCUACCCUUAUACCUGAAACAUUUUUCCUUACCCUUUCCAAGCGAGCAAUGCGAAAUUGUCUUAUGAGAAACGUUUGUGAAGUACUUUGAAGGUGUUUGGCAAAAGAAUAAGUGUGGGGGUAUUUCAUGUUUGUAAAAAAAAAAAAAAAAAAGGGAAAAAAGAGAAGAAAAGAAAAAGAAAAAAGAAAAAUUGUACACAAAGAAAAUAAAAAGUUGUUCAAGUUUCAGUUUAAGGGUAUGGUUGGAGGUGCUAGAAGAAUUGUUGGAGAGCUUGAGUUCUUAUAAAUCUAAAGAGAAAAAUUGCUUGCAAUGUAGCUUGGAAUUUGUGUUUCCUAUUCUUUCGUUUCAAUAACCCUAUCCCUAAGCCUCAUUACAUCCAAUAAAAGUCCUCUUGAUUUAAGUUUUGCAAUUAUGACUGUGGAGAAGUGAUCUUUAUGCAAGCUUAUGGUAGAAAUUUCACAUUUGUUUCUUUGAGCGAAACACACUAAAACUAAACACAUAUGUGAUUGAGUGUAUAUCCCGUGAGAAGGUUACUAGUUUGCAUAUGAUGAUUUUAAAAAUAAAAACUUGAAAUUGCAUUAGCAUGGCUAUCUCACACACUACACUUCAAGGAUGAUUCAAAGAUUACUGCUAAUAUUUGAAUAAGGAAGAUGAACUUGGAUUAGUUCCUUGAUGCUAGCUAUGGUUCUUGAUGAUUUGUUUUCUUGAAUGAAAUUCUAUGAGGGUCACAUAGAGGGAAGCUAAUGUUUUUCAUGUUAUUACUUUUUCAUGUUUUCUUUGUUUUGCUCGAGGACUAGCAAAAGUUAAGUGUGGGGGUAUUUGAUCGGAUCAUAUUUAUAUAUAUUUUUACUUCGAAUUCACUCGUCUUUUCUUAGUUAGUUCCUUAUAUUUUUGAGCUAUUUACGUUAUUUUUGUGUUUAUAGGAUUUGUUAUGCAAAGAAAAUAAAAAUAGAACAAAUGAAAUUUUAUGUAAUAAAUUCGUCAAAAAUGUCUGUGUAGAUCAGCUUUUAAAUUAAAUUAAAAAAUAUAUAUAUAUAUAAUAAUGAUAAAUCAUGAUGAUGUUUGAAACAUCAUCAUGAUGGUUUUGUUUUUUGUAGAAGAAAAGAAAGGAACGGAUGGAGAAGAAGAAAAGAAAGGAAUAAAAAAAGAAAAGAAGGAAUAAAAAAAAUUAAAAGAAGAAUAAGUGAGUCCACACAUGAGGGAUCCAAAGAAAGAUAUACGAAAGAAGAAGAAAAAAAAGGAGAAUCCAAGGCGUGAAAGGGAUAGAGGCGGGAGACAGAGAAGACUUGAAAAAGUGGGAAAUAAAAUAAUAAGAUAGAGAGGAGAAAGCAGCUGGCAGAGACGAAAUUGGGGGGGGGGGGGAGAGAUGGAGCUGCCUUUGGCAGCACGGGGUCAGAGAGGAUAGAGAUACGUGAGGGAAAGCAAAUAAGAAAGAAGAAGAAAAAAAAAGUGAGGGACUGACAGAAAAGCAGAGGGCUGCCCUUUGGGCAGCGUGAGGCUGCGCAGAAAUAAAAGGGACAGUGCGGCAUGGCAGGAGAGAAGUGACGCAGGGAGUGAGGGCAGAAGCACAGAAACGCAGCAGAUCUUAUUCUCUCGGUUAAAUCUUUCCAACUUAUGAUUAAUUUUUUGUUUAAUUUUAGAAUAAUGUGUAGCUAAAUUUAUUUUGGCUAGAGGUUAAUUCAAAGCCAUGAAUAUAUUUGUAAUAUGAAUUGAUUACCUUCGGUUGUGAUUUCAUAAGUUGUGAUUUCAAUUUACUUAUCCGUUCGUAUAAAAACUGAUUUGUGUAUGUUGGUUGAGAGUGCACGCUUAAUUUACAUGCAUGAAUUUGAUGCUAGAAUAUAAGUGAAUUUCACCUAAUCGUUAUGAACUUAUUUUCACAAGUAGUAAAGGUUGCUAGUCACAAUCACGUUAAGUAAAUUCUUGGCAAGAGUAUCAUGCUUUUCAUAGUUACGAAUGCAUCGUCAAUGCUUAUAGUUUUCACAAAGUUUAAUGAUCUUUGAUUGUAUCUCUAUUGUGCUUUUCACGUAGGGGACUUUUGAAGAAUGUUUUGAAUUGUUGUAUGCGUUUUCCCGUCCAAUUCAAUAACUUAAGGAAAACUUGAAGAUUAAAAAAGUGCUGUUCACGGUUAAUCUGGAGUAUUGAGAUUCACAAUUUAUUGAAAGAACAACUGAAAAUCAAUUUAGGUUGCAUAUGUGUCAUGUGUGGAGAAGAACCCUCUAGCUAGUCCGUCAUUUAUCAUUUUACCUUAAUUUUAUGUUUUGUCAAUUCUGUAAUUUAAUUAAGUUUAAUUUACUUUUCAUCAAAACCAAACACCUAUCCAUUAUUAAAUUAUUUUAUUUAUUUAGUUUUCUUUAUUGUUAGUCUUUUAAUUUAAUUUCCGUCCAUUUCAGUUCCUAGUGUUUAAUUUGAUUGUUUUCAUUAUUUUGAGUUAUCCUAAGUGUGUUUCGAGUUAUUAGAGUUUUUAGCCUAGUUUUGUGUCCUUGAGUCUUAUUUAAUAUUUUUAAAUUAAUUUAGAAUAGAUUAGCAAUCCCUCCUAAUCCCCGGCCUAGAACGAUACCCUACUUACAUCCAUACUACAAUUGUCAAAAAGAGGGUUUAAUUUGUGUGUCAAGAAAUUCUCACAUCAUUACCUCAGAGUAAGUCUUCCAAGUGUUGGCAUUGAUCAUGUACUGGAAGAAACAAUCACAUAGGCCGACCGUGAAGGCCUUGAGGGUGGUCUUAUCAUCUGCCUCAGCGUAGCGAUAAUACUCAUGGUUGAAACGACCGGCAUACUCUCCUAGUGACUUGUCCGACUUCUGGCUAAUAGUGUACAAGUCAUCUACAGAAUGCAAACGAUUGGUCUGGAAGAUAUGUUGAGAGACAAACAGUUCCUCAGUUCCUCAAAUGAGUCUACUAUCUCAGGUGGAAGACAACAAUACCAGUUUAGAGCUCCGCCAGAAAGGGUGGAGGGGAAGAGAAGACAUCGUUCUUCGUCGGUGUGCAUCCGAUAUGCCAUGGUGGACUCAAUGAGGUUAAGGUGUUCAAUUGGGUCCUCUCUUCCAGUAUAGAGUUGUAAACCAAGCUUUUGUUUUGUCUUCGCUUGAAAGGAGGUGUCGAGAAUCCUCCUUGUGAGAGGGCCAGGCCUGGGUUGGUUCCAGUCAGGUAUCUCGGCUUGACAUUCGGCCUUCAACUUGUUUGCUUCCUCAAGGAGUUGUAGGACAAGAGGGUCCUGAGUAGAGUCAUGUACCACUGGGAUUUUCUUUCGUAAGUCUUCUUCGCCUCUUGGAAGUAAGAAAGUUUGAGCAAGGGCGUGUGAUUUUUCCUUGGAUUCGCCGUACUGACUUCUAGGGUAAGUUUGUCGGAAUACCUCAAAGUCCCCUGUACCUUCAUGUUCCUCUAGGGCCUGUCGUUCCUUCCCUAGAUUGGCAGCCGGCCUAGGUCGUGGGAGGGGACUGAGUCUUUCAAAAACCCUUGGGUCAUUAAUCUUCGAGCAUAUGUGGAGAGGAUUAUCUCAACGUUGCUUUAGGAAGUCUCGGCAGUCACGAUAAACGGCUUUCGAUCCUUCCAACCCUUCUACAAGGAGGUGUCUUCCUCCACUUUUCCUGCUUCGGGUCGAAGCUGCUGGGUUGAGAGAAGUCUCAUGUUGAUCAAUGUUUUGAUGAUUAGCUCGCUCCUCAUUAGGGAUACCCAUGUCGAAGGAAGGUGACCUUCCGUGUUGGGGGGCACCCAGAUGAUGGUUGAUGUCCACAAGGGCAACGAACUCACGUGUUUGAGUACGCCUAGUUUCGUGGAGUGUCUCAAAGAGCUUCUCAUACUACUACUGGAGGACCUCAUUCUUCAUUGCUAUCUUGUUGUUCUGAGCUUCUAGCUCAUCGACUUUAGCUUGAAGAGCAACCCUCUUUCCUUUCUUCUUUCGUUGCUUCGCACUAGGUGCAAGAAGGGUGUCAUUUUGUGUUGUGGCUUCCUUCGUUCCCCAUGUUAGAGAGGGAUGCCUGGUUAAAAGAGAGUGUACGAAUGGUGGAAACUAGCUUGACAAAGCUGAAGAGAGUGGGAAUAAGUGUCGUUCCCACAGACAGAGCCAAAUGUUGAUGCACAAAAUUAGUGAGGACUUUGGUACAACAGAAAGUGUUAAGUUUGUGACCUUCGCUAGAUUGCUCCGGUCAUUAGUGUUGAUAAGUAUGUAAAUGGAUAGGGACUGGGAAGCAAACACAAGAUGUACGUGGUUCACCCAGAUUGGCUACGUCCACGGAGUAGAGGAGUUCUCAUUAAUUGUGAAGGGGUUACAUAAGUACAUAAGUUCAAGCUCUCCUUUAGUGAGUACUAGUGAAUGAUUUAGUACAAAUGACAUUCGGAAAUAUUGUGAGAGAAUGAUCUCUAUUUAUAGAAUAAAGUUUCUAGUUUCAUUCUGACAUUGACACGUGUCACGUUGUGAUUGGCCUCCUGGUUAGAGGGAAACUCUUCUGGGUCCUUGAGGGUAUAACGUUGACCGAUGCUCAGUAGUUUCGGGAUUGAUCAAGUAUGGUACAAACAAAAGGUACAUCCAAUGUGGUUUGACGAGCUUCCGAUGAAACAUACCUAUCCAUUGGUCCCCUUGACAUAGGUGGUGGAAAAGAACCUGUUUGUUGUCGAUGUGUGACACUCAUACUCUUACUCUCACUACUUACAUAUUGUGUCCUUGAGUCCAUGUCGACACUUUCACUUUGUUCUCCACCACCACGAGACAACUCAUGGCUAGCUUUCUUCUUUUCUUUAGUUUCAUGAACAUUAGCAAAACAUUGUUCCUUCACAUUGGGUGAGACUUGUUUACAACUAAUUAUUCCUUCCAAACUUACACCACCCAAGUGAUGUUUGAAUCUAGAAAUUGAACCCGUGCAUUUGUGGUUACAAAAAACACAAUAGAAGUGCUCAGUGAUAGGAUCCAAAUCUUUUGUCCAUUGCCAAACAAAAUCUUUCUUAGAAGAAGCCAUAUUCUUUAAUGCCUAAACAAUAAACAUUCGAUGCAUACAGUUAAUCCAUUUUUGAAUAAACAAUAAACAUUCCAAUGCAUAUUCUUCAAUGCCUAAAUAAUAUAUAAACAAAACUAUAUAAUUAGGCAUUCAUGUAUGUGUAUUUCAAUGUACUGCAUUAUUAGUGUGCUUUUGCUCUUGAAAUGGUCUGAAUAUGCUUCCUAUUUUUGGUAUUAGUUGCCAUCUUCUACUCGGUGAAGUCGAAAAUGCAAAGCAGUACAUGGUGUUUAUGUAGUUUUGUGUUCUGAAUCAGUAAAGGUGUAUGUUUUGUGUCAUAAUGUUACAAUCCUGUUUAUGUAGUUUUAUAUAUUUUAGUAUUAUAUUGAUCAUAGCCUUUGUAUCUACUUUAACUAAUAUCAAGUGUUCGCCAGUAAGAUCAUCACACACAAACUAUAUAAAAAAAAUUAAAAUAAAAGAAAAUCAAAAAAAUCAAAAUCCCAGAAACCUUAACCUUUAAAAUUGGGGAUUUGUGGGCGCUUGCUGACGGCGAUGUUGCUGGGUGACAGCGGUGCUGCUUUGAAGUUGGCGAUCGUUGUUGCUCCAAGCUGGCGGCGGCUAAGCUAUUAUGUGCUCUGGUCUAACGACACGGGAGGAGUGAAGAAGGCAGAGGCAUGAUCG
rnacentral:lncRNA from 1 species